rnacentral:tRNA from 1 species
UUGACAAAAACCAAAGCUAAGAGGUAUGUUACUGUUAAUAACACUAUUGAAUUAAUUUCUUGUCAAA